UACGUAGGGUGCGAGCGUUAAUCGGAAUUACUGGGCGUAAGCGUGCGCAGGCGGUUUUGUAAGCCAGGUGUGAAAUCCCCCGGGCUCAACCUGGGAAAUGGGCAUUUGGGACUGGCAAGGCUGGGAGUGCGGCAGAGGAGACGUGGAAUUCCUGGUGUAGCAGUGAAAUGCGUAGAUAUCAGGAGGAAGUACCGAUGGACGA
rnacentral:rRNA from 1 species